GGUAGAAAAUUAGAAAUUAAAAAAUUUGGAGGAACCCUAGUCCUCAAGUCCACCUCCCGUCAGUUCACAGAUCCCUCUUCCUCUUCCCAAAUCCCGUCUCCCUCCCCUCUCCGACCGUCCAACGCCGUCCGCCGCCUCCGUGAGCCACCCUCCGUCCGAAUCAGUCCAUGCCGCUCCGCCCUUCGAAUUCUGAAUCCGUCCACGCCGCCCUGCUCUUCGAAUUCUAAAUCAGUCCACGCCGCUCCGCGACGCAGCUCCGCCACGCCGCCGCGCCACUUCGAUUUUAUACCAAUCACUUAUCUGCUUGGAAUUGCUUUGGAUUUGUUAUGAGCUGGAAUUGUAUCUUAACUUUUGUAGAUCAAAUGGAAGCUUCACAAGCUCAUACUCAACAAGCUUCAAAUGUCCCUCCAAAUGCAAAUCCAAAUGGAGAAGAAGAAGAACCCCAAUCUCAGUCAUUAUGAGUUAUUAUGCAUUGUUGUCGUUAUUAUUAUUAUUAUUAUUUUUAAAUCGAUUCUUAGCUAAAAUAAAAUUAUGAUAUAUUUAAAGUACAAGAAUGAGCUUUAAUUUAGUGGAUAAGUUACUGUGUGUGUU